CUGAAGAUACCUAGCCUAAUUAACCUACUACCUACCUAUUUGGGAUAGGAUAUGCAAGCUAGCAUAGCUAGGCGUCCUCUGUUGGACAUCAACAUGGAAGGCCUGUGACAGAAACUGCUGUAACAUUUACAUCGCCUCAUCUUCCUAUUGCUUGGUGUGUUGGUUGAUGUUUCCUGAAUCCUUCAGCGAAAAUGAAGUCUGCCAAUUAACAGUCAAACACAUAACCUUGUGGAUAAAUCUAAAUGAAUCGGUACUUAUAAACUUCCUAAUAAACAGUUGAUAUAAGAUGUAGAAAAAUGCAGUUUCUACAUGAGGCAUUUGAAUAGUAAGGAAACCAUCAUCAAGCAGAAAUAAUGGUGAGGUUCCAGCUAGUGAGAUUCAUUGCGACAGUGUCUAUUGCUGCUCUUCUAGUCCUUUUCUAUAUGAUUUUGUUUGAUGGCACCACACCGAAACCUGUAAAGCUUGUGAAGAAUCAGGGAUGGAGUUCAAAGUUAAGUGAGUAUCCUGUGAUAGAAGGUUCUGCUGUUGAGUCUCAGUUCAUGGCUCUGAAAGUUAACAAUUGUUCAGGAAGUUUAAUGCAGCAACAUUAUGUUAAGUUAAAUAAUAAGUACUGGCAGGUAGUAGAUGAUGGACAAGUUUAUCUCUACAGUGGAUUUUAUGAUGCUAGGUUUGUCUACCUAAAAGUUGAAUAUCACUAUGUGAGAAUUAUUGGCAUGUCAGUUGGUAAAAUUAGUGGCAGAAAAUAUCACUGCAGUC